rnacentral:rRNA from 1 species
CGAAGGGUGCUAGCGUUGUUCGGAAUCACUGGGCGUAAAGCGCGCGUAGGCGGCGACUCAAGUCAGGGGUGAAAUCCCGGGGCUCAACCCCGGAAUUGCCUUUGAAACUGUGUUGCUAGAGUGUCGGAGGGGAUAGCGGAAUUCCUAAUGUAGAGGUGAAAUUCGUAGAUAUUAGGAGGAACACCGGUGGCGAAGGCGGCUAUCUGGACGACAACCGACGCUGAGGCGCGAAAGCGCGGGGAUCAAACAGGAUUAGAUACCCUGGUAGUCCGCGCUGUAACGAUGGAUGCUAGCUGUUGGGAGGUUACCUCUCAGUAGCGCAGCUAACGCGUUAAGCAUCCCGCCUGGGGAAUACGGUCGCAAGAUUA